rnacentral:misc_RNA from 1 species
AACUUUCAACAAUGGAUCUCUUGGCUCUCGCAUCGAUGAAGAACGCAGCGAAAUGCGAUAAGUAAUGUGAAUUGCAGAAUUCAGCGAAUCAUCGAAUCUUUGAACGCAUCGUGCGCUCCAUGGUAUUCCGUGGAGCAUGCCUGUUUGAGUGUCAUUCACGUUCUCAACCACAACUGAAUUCUUUUUUCUGUUGUGGCUUGGUUUGGUGGGGGAUUUGCUGGCUUUCACAAGUCUGCUCCACUGAAAUGCAUUAGUGUUAUGAGCUACUACGUGGUUUGAUAUAUUUAUCUAUGCUCUGCUUGUGUGCAGCUGUAUACUGCUUCUCACAAAAAUGUUAUUUGAUUGAUGAAUUUGACGGCAAAUCAGGUAGGACUACCCGCUUAACUUAAGCAUAUCUAUAAGCAGAGGCU